UACGUAGGGUGCGAGCGUUGUCCGGAAUUAUUGGGCGUAAAGGGCUCGUAGGCGGUUUGUCGCGUCGGGGAGUGAAAACCAGGUGCUUAACACCUGGCUUGCUUUCGAUACGGGCAGACUAGAGGUAUGCAGGGGAGACUGGAAUUCCUGGUGUAGCGGUGAAAUGCGCAGAUAUCAGGAGGAACACCGGUGGCGAAGGCGGGUCUCUGGGCCGAUACUGACGCUGAGGAGCGAAAGCGUGGGGAGCGAACAGG
rnacentral:rRNA from 1 species